ACUCAAAGGAAUAGACGGGGGCCCGCACAAGCGGUGGAGCAUGUGGUUUAAUUCGACGCAACGCGAAGAACCUUACCUGGACUCGAAAUGCAGUUGACCGCCUCAGAGAUGAGGUUUUCCCGCAAGGGACGGCUGUAUAGGUGCUGCAUGGCUGUCGUCAGCUCGUGUCGUGAGAUGUUGGGUUAAGUCCCGCAACGAGCGCAACCCUCAUCCUUAGUUGCUCGCCCGAAAGGGAAGCACCCUAAGGAAACUGCCUCCGAUAAGGGGGAGGAAGGUGGGGAUGACGUCAAGUCCUCAUGGCCUUUAUGCCCAGGGCUACACACGUGCUACAAUGGCCGGUACAGACCGUUGCCAACCUGCGAAGGGGAGCCAAUCGGUAAAAACCGGUCUCAGUUCGGAUUGCAGUCUGCAACUCGACUGCAUGAAGCUGGAAUCGCUAGUAAUCGCGUAUCAGAACGACGCGGUGAAUACGUUCCCGGGCCUUGUACACACCGCCCGU
rnacentral:rRNA from 1 species